CCUACGGGCGGCAGCAGUGAGGAAUAUUGGUCAAUGGCCGGAAGGCUGAACCAGCCAUGCCGCGUGAAGGUCAGUGCCCUAUGGGCGUUAAACUUCUUUUGUGCGGGAGCAAUAAUGGUCACGUGUGGCCAGACGAGAGUACCGUACGAAUAAGCAUCGGCUAACUCCGUGCCAGCAGCCGCGGUAAUACGGGGGAUGCAAGCGUUAUCCGGAUUUAUUGGGUGUAAAGGGUGCGUAGGCUGUGAGGUAAGUCAGCGGUGAAAUGCCCCCGCUCAACGGGGUGAAGUGCCAUUGAUACUGCCUGGCUGGAAUGCGGAUGCCGUGGGAGGAAUGUGUGGUGUAGCGGUGAAAUGCAUAGAUAUCACACAGAACACCGAUUGCGAAGGCAUCUCACGAAGCCGCGAUUGACGCUGAUGCACGAAAGCGUGGGUAUCAAACAGGAUUAGAUACCCUUGUAGUC
rnacentral:rRNA from 1 species